rnacentral:lncRNA from 1 species
GAAAAAUAAUUAAUUUUCCUUUCUCUCACCCUCCAAAUCUAAAACUCGCCACUGGCCUUUUCUCUAGUGAGAAAAAUGCAUGAAAAAUGCAUUUAAAGGUUCUGCUCAUUUUAAAGUACUUUUCAUAAACACUGGCUUCACGCCAAGCUUUCGAGGCAGGGAAUGCAUCACCCAUUAAUUCAAGCAGAAACGUUCCUCUCCCAUGAAUCACAUAGGAAGGAAUAUUCCAUGCCACCACACCCAGCUAAUUUUUGAAAAAAAAUUUUUGUAGAGGUGGGGUCUCACUAUAUUUCCCAGGCUCGUCUCCAAUCCUGGCCUCAAGCAAUCUUCCCACCUUGGCCUCCCAGAGUGCUGAGAUUACAGGUGUGAGCCACUGUGCCCAACCUUGGGUCAACUUAAGAUGUCUGCUGAGGUGGUUGUGAAGCAGUAACUGAAUUUAAUCCUGAUUCCAGCCAAGAAGGGUUCCUGAGUUAGGACAGAAAAGUACCAACAGCACUUGCUCAAUGGGUCCUGGCACUUUUAUUUGCAAGUUACAUGACUAAUCACUAGAUUUCUCUGGUCCUCAGUUCUCUAUCUGUAAACUAAGUAGGUUGAACUAGAAGACCUCUAAUUUAAUCUAGAGA